AAACAAUAUUUCAACAGUAGAAUCACUCCUACCUUGGCUCUUCAAGGUACUGUAAAGGAUAUACUCCAGUCAUCAUCCAGGCUUUCAGACUUCAUCCUGCUCUGUGAGCUUCUUAACUCCAUUGACGAAGAAGAAAAGGAUUUCUACCUUCCAAAACUGGCCCACAAGACAGGACAAGGAGGGCCUUGGAUACAUUUGAUGUCAAUUUAUAAUUUGUGGUCCCCCACAGAUAAUAAUUUUAAGUUUUCCUCCUAUUUCUACAGCAUUAUUAACCUCUUGCACUACUGGACAUUAAACUCAUAUUAAUAAUGAAGCACUAUAUUAAUCUGUCUAAAAGUUAAAUAAUAUAGUAGCAUAUUUGAAGAUUAGUGACCCACACUGGGUGUAAUUCACCAAACAUGAACUUAGCUCCUUGCUUCUCCGGAUAUACUAGAUUGUAUGUUUUCUACAAGAUCAGUUGCGUUAUGAUACCUUGGAAUAUGCAUUAAAAUCAAUGUCAUUUGGCUGACUAAGCUUUUUUAAGUUAUAAAUUGAGGGUAAUGUGUUGGAGUCACCAGAGAGAGGAUAUAAGGUCUGCCUACUUUAGAAUAAACAUCUUCUUUGCUUUCCAAAU
rnacentral:lncRNA from 1 species